UACAGAGGUCCCAAGCGUUGUUCGGAUUCAUUGGGCGUAAAGGGUGCGUAGGUGGCGUCGUAAGUCGGGUGUGAAAUUUCGGAGCUCAACUCCGAAACUGCAUUCGAUACUGCGGUGCUUGAGGGCUGGAGAGGAGACUGGAAUUCAUGGUGUAGCAGUGAAAUGCGUAGAGAUCAUGAGGAAGACCAGUGGCGAAGGCGGGUCUCUGGACAGUUCCUGACACUGAGGCACGAAGGCCAGGGGAGCAAACGGG
rnacentral:rRNA from 1 species